rnacentral:rRNA from 1 species
CACGUAGGGCGCAAGCGUUGUCCGGAAUUAUUGGGCGUAAAGAGCUCGUAGGCGGCUUGUUGCGUCGACCGUGAAAACCCGCGGCUUAACUGUGGGCUUGCGGUCGAUACGGGCGGGCUGGAGUUCGGUAGGGGAGACUGGAAUUCCUGGUGUAGCGGUGAAAUGCGCAGAUAUCAGGAGGAACACCGGUGGCGAAGGCGGGUCUCUGGGCCGAUACUGACGCUGAGGAGCGAAAGCGUGGGGAGCGAACAGG